AUUGAACGCUGGCGGCAGGCCUAACACAUGCAAGUCGAACGGUAACAGGAAGCAGCUUGCUGCUUUGCUGACGAGUGGCGGACGGGUGAGUAAUGUCUGGGAAACUGCCCGAUGGAGGGGGAUAACUACUGGAAACGGUAGCUAAUACCGCAUAACGUCGCAAGACCAAAGAGGGGGACCUUAGGGCCUCUUGCCAUCGGAUGUGCCCAGAUGGGAUUAGCUAGUAGGUGGGGUAACGGCUCACCUAGGCGACGAUCCCUAGCUGGUCUGAGAGGAUGACAGGCCACACUGGAACUGAGACACGGUCCAGACUCCUACGGGAGGCAGCAGUGGGGAAUAUUGCACAAUGGGCGCAAGCCUGAGGCAGCCAUGCCGCGUGUAUGAAGAAGGCCUUCGGGUUGUAAAGUACUUUCAGCGGGAGGAAGGGAGUAAAGUUAAUACCUUUGCUCAUUGACGUUACCCGCAGAAGAAGCACCGGCUAACUCCGUG
rnacentral:rRNA from 1 species